ensembl:lncRNA
GCCUCACAGAUUUCCCCUUCAUGGAAAUCCUCUGAUUUCAUUUUCAAAUGACACCUCACAACAUCUGCAUACGUCAAAGGUUUUGUCAAUACGGAACGUCUGAUAUUUGACAUUGAAGCAUUUAUUUCUUGAUCUUUGAAAUUUAAUGUAAAGGAGUCAGGUGAAUCUGGUCGAAUCUCAUCAAACAACUCUUUGAUACAAAAGCCAAAUAAUUCUGGGUCAGAUGCCAUGGACUGAGACAAUGAGGGUCUCCUUUCAAAGAAUCGCAAGUAAUAGUCACAAUGUUGGGACUCAAGUGGAACAAAGGUAUUGUCAGAACAGACACAACUUAGAUCAGCAGAUGUUACUGAUUCAGGGGAAGAUGGUCUCAACUCGGCUAACCUGUUCUGAACAAGGGAACAAUCUACAUCUGAAGAGAUUAAUUCUGCAGAGAAAGGCCAGCUAUCAAACACAUGUUCCAGUUUAAAGUCAGAUAGAACUGACAUUGGAGAAUCAGGCCUUAUCGCUUCAAACAGAUAUCCAAGACUAAGAUCAUUACAUUCAAUAUCUGAAGCUGCUGAUACAGGCGAACUUGAUCUAUUUGCUGAGUACUCAACAACAUACUCACAGUACUGGGGCAUGAAUUGGGGAAUGGGUGAGUCAGGAGAAAGGGAUGAAAACUCAUCAGGAGAAGCAAUAGAUUCAGGCGAGGGAGGUCUCAACUCAUUGACCCAAUUGCAAAGGAAUUCCUGUGUAUCCUCAUUGUCUGAUGAGUACAUUUCAGAUGAAGGUAAUCUAGCCUCACAGAUUUCCUUCGCAUGGAAAUCCUCUGAUUUCAUUUUCAAAUGACACCUCACAACAUCUGCAUACGUCAAAGGUUUUGUAAAUACGGCACGUCUGCUAUUUGACAUUGGAACAUCUAUUUCUUGAUCUUUGAAAUUAAAUGGAAAUGAGUCAGGUGAAUCUGGUCGAAUCUCAUCAAACAACUCUUCGAUAAAAAAGCCAAAUAAUUCUUGGUCAGAUGCAGUGGACUGAGAUGAUGAGUGUCUCCCUUCAAAGAAUCGCAAGUAAUAGUCACAAUUUUGAGACUCAAGUGGAACAAAGGUGUUGUCAGAACAGACACAACUUAGAUCAACAGAUGUUACUGAUUCAGGGGACGAUGGUCUCAACUCGGCUAACCAGUUCUGAACAAGGGAACAAUCUACAUCUGAAGAAAUUAAUUCUGCAGAGAAGGGCAAGCUAUCAAACACAUGUUCCAGUUUAAAGUCAGAUAGAACUGACAUUGGAGAAUCAGGCCUUAUCUCUUCAAACAGAUAUCCAAGACAAAGAUCAUUACAUUCAAUAUCUGAAGCUGCUGAUACUGCCGAACUUGAUCUAUUUGCUGAGUACUCAACAACAUACUCACAGUACUGGGGCAUGAAUUGGGGAAUGGGUGAGUCAGGAGAAAGGGAUGAAAACUCAUCAUGAGAAGCAAUAGAUUCAGGGGAGUGGGGUCUCAACUCAUUGAUCCAAUUGCAAAGGAAUGCUUGUGUAUCCUCAUUGUCUGAUGAGUACAUUUCAGAUGAAGGUGAUCUAGCCUCACAGAUUUCCUUUGCAUGGAAAUCCUCUGAUUUUAUUUUCAAAUGACACCUCACAACAUCUGCAUACGUCAAAGGUUUUGUCAAUACGGCACGUCUGAUAUUUGACAUUGGAACAUCGAUUUCUUGAUCUUCGAAAUUAAAUGUAAAUGAGUCAGGUGAAUCUGGUCGAAUCUCAUCAAACAACUCUUCGAUAAAAAAGCCAAAUAAUUCUGGGUCAGAUGCAGUGGACUGAGAUGAUGAGUGUCUCCCUUCAAAGAAUCGCAAGUAAUAGUCACAAUUUUGAGACUCAAGUGGAACAAAGGUAUUGUCAGAACAGACACAACUUAGA